CAGCUUGCUGGGUGGAUCAGUGGCGAACGGGUGAGUAACACGUGAGCAACCUGCCCUCCACUUCGGGAUAAGCCUUGGAAACGGGGUCUAAUACCGGAUAUGAGCACAUGGCGCAUGUCGUGUGUUGGAAAGUUUUUCGGUGGGGGAUGGGCUCGCGGCCUAUCAGCUUGUUGGUGGGGUGAUGGCCUACCAAGGCGUCGACGGGUAGCCGGCCUGAGAGGGCGACCGGCCACACUGGGACUGAGACACGGCCCAGACUCCUACGGGAGGCAGCAGUGGGGAAUAUUGCACAAUGGGCGAAAGCCUGAUGCAGCGACGCCGCGUGAGGGAUGACGGCCUUCGGGUUGUAAACCUCUUUCAGCAGGGAAGAAGGCCUUCGGGUGGACGGUACCUGCAGAAGAAGCGCCGGCUAACUACGUGCCAGCAGCCGCGGUAAUACGUAGGGCGCAAGCGUUGUCCGGAAUUAUUGGGCGUAAAGAGCUCGUAGGCGGUUUGUCGCGUCUGGUGUGAAAACCUCAGGCUCAACCUGGGGCGUGCAUCGGGUACGGGCAGACUAGAGUGCGGUAGGGGAGACUGGAAUUCCUGGUGUAGCGGUGGAAUGCGCAGAUAUCAGGAGGAACACCGAUGGCGAAGGCAGGUCUCUGGGCCGCAACUGACGCUGAGGAGCGAAAGCAUGGGGAGCGAACAGGAUUAGAUACCCUGGUAGUCCAUGCCGUAAACGUUGGGCACU
rnacentral:rRNA from 1 species